UGUUGCUUGCUUGCUUGGAUACUUGAUGAUUGAAGUUGCUGAAAUUUUUGAAAAGAGUUGUGUUUUCUUGACUUUCGUGCUAAUUUUAUCCAUGUUUAAUCCAUCAUUUUGAGAUUUUCUUGGCAUGGUUGUGUUCUACUCUAUGAGAUCUACAUUUUUGUUUUUUAUUUAAUUCGAUUUCAUGGAUUAUGGAUGAAUUUAUGUGAGCUUG
rnacentral:lncRNA from 1 species